UACGUAGGGGGCGAGCGUUGUCCGGAUUUAUUGGGCGUAAAGAGCUCGUAGGCGGUUUGUCGCGUCGGGAGUGAAAACCUUGGGCUUAACUCAGGGCUUGCUUUCGAUACGGGCAGACUAGAGGUAUGCAGGGGAGAACGGAAUUCCUGGUGUAGCGGUGAAAUGCGCAGAUAUCAGGAGGAACACCGGUGGCGAAGGCGGUUCUCUGGGCAUGAUCUGACGCUGAGGAGCGAAAGUGUGGGGAGCGAACAGG
rnacentral:rRNA from 1 species